AUGAAACCAUGUAACAUUCAUAAUGCUACAUUAUCUUGCCUGAGUCCUACUUCUGCAAAGUUAUCCUUUUACACCUUCCUAGUCAAUUCACUCCCAUUCAUGACAGUAACGAUCCUAAACCUUUCUAUCCUUUCUCAAGGGAGAGAAAGAGAAAGAAAGAAAGAAAGAAAGAAAGAAAGAAAGAAAGAAAGAAAGAAAGAAAGAAAGAAAGAAAGAAAGAAAGAAAGAAAGAAAGAAAGAAAGAAAGAAAGAAAGAAAGAAAGAAAGAAAGAAAGAAAGGAAGGAAGGAAGGAAGGAAGGAAGGAAGGAAGGAAGGAAGGAAGGAAGAAAGAAAGAAAGAAAGAAAGAAAGAAAGAAAGAAAGAAAGAAAGAGAGAGAGAAAGGGAGGGAGGGAGGGAGGAAGGGAGGGUUUACACUUGUUUGAACCCCAGACUUCAAUCCCCAGAAGUCCUUGAUACUUCCUUGAUACUUCCCAGAAUUCCCUAUAAUCUCACCUGA
rnacentral:lncRNA from 1 species